GACGAACGCUGGCGGCGUGCUUAACACAUGCAAGUCGAACGGAAAGGCCCUGCUUUUGUGGGGUGCUCGAGUGGCGAACGGGUGAGUAACACGCGAGUAACCUGCCCUUGACUUUGGGAUAACUUCAGGAAACUGGGGCUAAUACCGGAUAGGAGCUCCUGCUGCAUGGUGGGGGUUGGAAAGUUUCGGCGGUUGGGGAUGGACUCGCGGCUUAUCAGCUUGUUGGUGGGGUAGUGGCUUACCAAGGCUUUGACGGGUAGCCGGCCUGGGAGGGUGACCGGGCACAUUGGGACUAAGAGACGGCCCAGACGCCUACGGGAGGCAGCAGGGGGGAGUAUUGCACAAUGGGCGGAAGCCUGAUACAGCAACGCCGCGUGCGGGAUGACGGCCUUCGGGGUGUAAACCGCUUUCGCCUGUGACGAAGCGUGAGUGACGGUAAUGGGUAAAGAAGCACCGGCUAACUACGUG
rnacentral:rRNA from 1 species